rnacentral:lncRNA from 1 species
AGACAAACGUUGCCAGCUGCAGCCUCACCAAUGGCUCCGAGUUGGGCCUUGGUUCAUCACGAACUCUGUGAUUUCAGAGUUACUGACACUUCACCCUCCCCAGAUGCUCAAGAGAUCAGUGUGAAUUUUGUUCCAGUAUGGCAGCUCUGGAGGAUGGUGACUGACAUGAUGCCCACUGUGAAAACAUCAAUUCUUAUUUUAUUUACAGGAGACAGUUCUUUCUUAUUUAGCCUUUCUCAGAGGUUGCCUGUCACCUGCUAGGGUACACAAAGGAGAAAGAAGGAUGGCCAAUGAGCCAGAGGACAGCAGAUUGCCAAGCCAAGAGCAGUGUCUUUUAUGUUCUUUGAUAACUGUUCGAGUUCCCGCUCCUAUUCCUUCCAUCUAUUAAUGAACAUCCUGGCCUUUAAUCAUCGAUAUCAUUUCAUAGAGACUUUUGCAUGAGUCUCCCCUCGCCUUUGCUUCUCAGAACAUCUGUUUCCCAGACCUUCUCUUGAGAAUGAGCUUAUACAUGGCAGCUUUCCCCUUCUCUGGACCACGAAGCUGCAUUUUCUAUGCACCUUCAAGCAUUAAAUAGAAAAUCAAGCUAAAUGUACCAUAUUUUGUUAUAAUUACAGUCUAGGGGGAGAAAUCCUUAUUAAUUAGGUAUCCAAGAAAGUUAUGUGGCCCAUAUGUAAGGUGAAAUGUAUAGUUCACAGUCAUAAUGUUUGGUAAUAAAGGGAUAGUGAUGAAUGAAAAGAACAAAUGUAAAUUAACAUCCUCCAAAUAAAUCAAACAGUUUAGAUGAUUGGGCCACUCAUGGCAACCAUGUGCAACUGGGUUCUGGUUGCCACUUUAAAGUCUCUGAUUUUAGUUUGCCUAAAAUUAUUCUUUUAAUAAACGAGUGUAGUUCCAGAGGUAUUCUGGUACCAUUUGAUAGGUACAGAUUUACUGUGUUUGCAGUGUGAUAAUAAGACUACUAUUCUGAUUAUUCAUCAUGGAGGCUUUGCUGUUGGGCUGGAUGAUGGUAGAAAUUAAGGAAUUUUCACUCAGAUAAGGUCUCUUCCUUUUAGGAAUUUAUUCUCCACAGUUAUGUGCGUUAGCCUGAGUCACAUGCAGGACAACCUCAUCACUGACCUGGAAGAGUCCCCUGGUUAAUAAUGAUGACCAUGUACCUAGGGCUUCCUGUGAGCCAGGGUCACUUCGAAUUCUUAGUUCCCCACAGGAGUGUAUUACCUAAGAUAGUGUUUAUAUCUACAACUAGAAACCAUCAGUUAAGGAUGAUUGAUAUGCCUUGUCUCUGGUAGUAUAAGACUCUAUAACUU